ensembl:snoRNA SNORA63 Small nucleolar RNA SNORA63
AAGCAGGAUUUAAGUACAGUAUAGCUGUUAAGUGCUAUGUUGUCGUUCACCCUGCUCAAAACAAUGUUGUUUCUUAACUAUACCUGUCUGCUAAGACACCUGUAGCAGCCAGGGACACUUGGUCUCAUACAU